rnacentral:rRNA from 1 species
AAUAGAUACCCCGGUAGUCCACGCCGUAAACGAUGAGUGCUAAGUGUUAGGGGGUUUCCGCCCCUUAGUGCUGCAGCUAACGCAUUAAGCACUCCGCCUGGGGAGUACGGUCGCAAGACUGAAACUCAAAGGAAUUGACGGGGGCCCGCACAAGCGGUGGAGCAUGUGGUUUAAUUCGAAGCAACGCGAAGAACCUUACCAGGUCUUGACAUCCCAUUGACCACUAUGGAGACAUAGUUUUCCCUUCGGGGACAACGGUGACAGGUGGUGCAUGGUUGUCGUCAGCUCGUGUCGUGAGAUGUUGGGUUAAGUCCCGCAACGAGCGCAACCCUUGUUCUUAGUUGCCAUCAUUUAGUUGGGCACUCUAAGGAGACUGCCGGUGACAAACCGGAGGAAGGUGGGGAUGACGUCAAAUCAUCAUCGCCCCUUAUGACCGUGGGCUACACACGUGCUACAAUGGACGGUACAAACGGUUGCCAACCCGCGAGGGAAGCUAAUCCGAUAAAACCGUUCUCAGUUCGGAUUGUAGGCUGCAACUCGCCUACAUGAAGGACC